CAUUGCUAUCUGGAAGCAGAGCCUUUUCCGCCAGUGGCCUGACUGCACAGUCUUCGAGGCUGGAAUAGAAAUCAUGCCAGUGACUCUGGGUUACUGGGAUAUCCGUGGACUGGGCCACGCCAUCCGCCUGCUCCUGGAAUACACAGAAACAAGCUAUGAAGAGAAGAGAUACGCCAUGGGGGACGCUCCUGACUAUGACAGAAGCCAGUGGCUGAACGACAAAUUCAAGCUGGAUCUGGACUUUCCCAAUCUGCCCUACUUAAUUGAUGGCUCACACAAGGUCACCCAGAGCAAUGCUAUCCUGCGCUACCUUGGCCGCAAGCACAACCUGUGUGGAGAGACAGAGGAGGAGAGGAUUCGUGUAGACAUUUUGGAGAAACAGGUUAUGGAUACCCGCAUUCAGAUGGGCACGCUCUGCUACAGCCCUGAUUUCGAGAAACGGAAGCCAGAGUUCUUGAAGGGCCUCCCAGACCAGCUGAAGCUCUACUCCGAGUUCCUGGGGAAGCAGCCAUGGUUUGCAGGGAACAAGGUCACCUUUGCAGAUUUCCUUGUCUAUGAUGUCCUUGAUCAGCACCAGAUGUUUGAGCCCAAGUGCCUAGACGCCUUCCCAAACCUGAUGGACUUCGUGGCCCGCUUUGAGGUGAUGCCCUGAUCCUGCUUCCUCUUGGAUGCCUCCCUUCCCUUCCCCCCCUUUCCAGGUUGCUUCCUCAAUCCUGAGGGUUGACCGAAGAAUAACGAGGAUCUUUUGAGCACUGGCUUUCUGCCAGGACCCGUGUUCAGCCUCCUAGAUCUUCCGAGUCAAUUUAUCAUUGCCAAAUGCAGGCGACUUGGAUAGAAUUAGCUGUCACACUGAACAGAUAAGGAACUUGAGACUGUGGAGGGUAAGCUGCUUGACAUCCUAGCAGGAGUAGAGGCUGUUCUGGGCUCCUGACUGCUUUUGGCUUCUAAAAGCAACAUUUGGUGUCUUUUUCCGAUUUGUGCCAAAAAGUAAGUCAGGCCUUUGUACAGCGUGGGUUUCCCGCCCAGGACCUGUGGUAUGCAGAACGUGUAAAGAAUAUGUUUGCUCCUCACCGUUAGGCUGAGAGAAAGGCAGACUGAUGGGCAGGACCAAGACAAACCCAAUGGUAAUAUUUGGCUGGUGUUGUCAGUCAUGUUGCUGACUUGUGAACUCCUGUGACUCAGGGCUGUUCCCGUGGAAGACGCCAUCUUGAGUUCUGUUGGUGGGUGUGUGCUUUUUCCUCCCUCUCUUUCUCCAUCUCUCACUGUGUCCCUCUAUGAAAUGAGGUCAUACUUUAUCCUUAUUGGGAUGCUUUGGGAUUCCCCUCUGUAUCGGGCCCAGCAGGACAUGUAAAAAUGUCCCUCCAUCAUGGGACUGAGUGAAGCUGGUAGCAGGAGGCACAACAGACCAUGAGACGCAUGUGGUAUUAAUGGCUGCCUGGCCCUCACCUCACAGUUAACCGCGAGCCACACUGAAGUCUCUGGUUCGACACCAACAAGACGUACUUUUUUUAUAUUGGCACAUUGGAGGUGUUGCUAUAGCAACAGAUCUCGGCCUAGAAGCACUUGUCCUUUCCCACUUGCCAAGAGGAGAUGCAUUUCUUCUUUAGUCAGUUCUCAUCACCAUGGUUGUGGUCCACAUGGAGUGGCCUUGUGAGUGUGCAAGAGCUGGCCGAACUGAGGAGGGGAGCAUUUGUUCUGAGCACAGAUGGGUGUGGCUCAUUUGGGAGUGGUAGCUCUGGCUCUCUAUUGAUCUUUAGAAAUGACUUGUGCAUUCUCCAAUGAGGUGUCCUGCCUGUAUCACACUCCACUGCCCCAGAGUUAGAGAUCAGGUAGGUAGGGGCUCAGUGGGAUUGUGUUUGGGUGAACAUCUGGAGCUGGCCACCCUUGCUUUGUGGUUUCUUCAGCCUUCUCUGCUUGCACUGAGGGUUUGCUGAAUCACUGCAUCGCACCUGGACUCUCUUCCAAGCCACACAAGCAAGUUCUCAACCCUUUUGGUUUUCUGGAUCCUUGCUUCUUUUAAUUACAGGCAUGCCAUUGCAGCCAGGAGUGACAGUGCCCCCUAUGGGAGGCAGGAGGGAGUGCACAGAGAGCAGAGUGGCAGCCACAGUGCUGGGCUGACCCUCUCAGUCUUGGGAGAAUGAGGAAGUUUCUUAACCUCUGGUAUCUCAGCAUCCCUGCUGAUUGGUGUGAUGGGCCUGAAGAAGAUCUCUGCCUAUAUGAAGACCAGCCGCUUCCUUCCAAGUCCUGUGUAUUUAAAACAGGC